AACGCUGGCGGCGCGUCUUAAGCAUGCAAGUCGAACGGCAAGAGGUAGCAAUACCUCCUAGAGUGGCGGACUGGUGAGUAACACGUGGGUGACAUACCCUUCAGAUGGGGAUAGCUAUUAGAAAUAGUAGAUAAUACCGAAUACGAGCACAGGGGUUAGAGAUCUGUGAGGAAAGGAGCUAAGGCUCCGCUGAAGGAAUGGCCUGCGGCCCAUUAGCUAGUUGGUGAGGUAAGAGCCCACCAAGGCGAUGAUGGGUAUCCGGCCUUAGAGGGUGAACGGACACAUUGGGACUGAGAUACGGCCCAGACUCCUACGGGAGGCAGCAGCUAAGAAUAUUCCGCAAUGGACGAAAGUCUGACGGAGCGACGCCGCGUGGAUGAAGAAGGCCGGAAGGUUGUAAAAUCCUUUUGAAACUGAAGAAUAAGCGUUGUAGGGAAUGACAGCGUGGUGACAGUAGGUUUUGAAUAAGCAACGGCUAAUUACGUGCCAGCAGCGGC
rnacentral:rRNA from 1 species